rnacentral:misc_RNA from 1 species
GUCAUCCUCAAGCCCCCUCUCUUACCUAUCUUCAUAUGUGUAAUGGCAGUUGCUCUUUUACUGUCAAGGCGAACUGAUCGUGUUUGAACUUUGUUGAUGUUCAUAAAAUAUACCAAGGACUGACCAAAAUCGUCAUCACCAAGUUUCCCCAUGAAGGCAACUUUACCUCCCAAACUCGCAAGAGCCACAGCAACAUUACUUGAACAUCCCCCUGGAGCCCUGAUAAACUUUUCAGGAUCCCACAUUACAUCCUUCAUUCUUUCAUGCCAUUCAUGGUCUACAAGUCUAUUGGAUGGCCUCCCUGAAGGAACGAAUGCAUGCUGUGCUGCACCAAAGCAACAUACAAGGGGUGGCCAUCCAUACGUGAAGCUAAUAUCCUCUCCAACAUCUAUAUCGAAGUCCAGUUCUUCCUCAUUAUCGGCAUCAACAUUUGCAACAUGUAGCUCUUCUUCAAUAUCACUAAGUUCUGACUGGC